UGUAUCACUGAUGAUAAUUUGGCUCCCUCUACUGACCUCUGUGAGGAGAUGGCCAUUGUUACCCAAUUUCUGUCUGAGAUGCA
rnacentral:snoRNA from 12 species